GGAUGAACCGCUAAAAUAUACAUUCUGAAGUGAUUUUGUUUCAUUUUUUUGCCCAGUUUCAACACAGGCAUUGAUGAAAUGUUUUAUAUUUUGUAACGGCCUAUGGGUCGUCAACUUCUUUUCUCGGAGAAGAAACAAUGACAGUAUCUGAGGAAUAAGCAUCGGCUAACUCUGUGCCAGCAGCCACGGUAAGACAGAGGAUGCAAGCGUUAUCC
rnacentral:ncRNA from 1 species